rnacentral:rRNA from 1 species
UACGUAGGGUCCUAGCGUUGUCCGGAUUUAUUGGGCGUAAAGAGCUCGUAGGCGGUUUGUUAAGUCGGAUGUGAAAUCCCUCGGCUCAACUGAGGAAGUGCAUCCGAAACUGGCAGGCUUGAGUACUAAAGAGGGUCGCGGAAUUCCCGGUGUAGAGGUGAAAUUCGUAGAUAUCGGGAGGAACACCGGUGGCGAAGGCGGCAUCCUGGACCGGCAUUGACGCUGAGGCGCGAAAGCUAGGGGAGCAAACGGGG